rnacentral:rRNA from 1 species
UACGAAGGGGGCGAGCGUUAUUCGGAAUCACUGGGCGUAAAGCGUGCGUAGGCCUUUGGCAAGUUGGAAGUGAAAGCCCAGGGCUCAACCCUGGAAUUGCUUUCAAAACUGCCCAAACUAGAGUCCGGGAGAGGAUAGCGGAAUUUCCAGUGUAGUAGUGAAAUACGUAGAUAUUGGAAGGAACACCAGUGGCGCAAGCGGCUAUCUGGACCGGUACUGACGCUGAGGCACGAAAGCGUGGGGAUCAAACAGG